AGAGUUUGAUCCUGGCUCAGGAUGAACGCUGGCGGCAUGCCUAAUACAUGCAAGUCGAACGAGAGGAAGGAAAGCUUGCUUUUCUAAAUCUAGUGGCGAACGGGUGAGUAACACGUAGGUAACCUGCCCAUGUGCCCGGGAUAACUUCUGGAAACGGAUGCUAAAACCGGAUAGGUAGCAGACAAGCAUUUGACUGCUAUUAAAGUGGCUAAGGCCAUGAACAUGGAUGGACCUGCGGAGCAUUAGCUAGUUGGUGAGGUAACGGCCCACCAAGGCGACGAUGCAUAGCCGGCCUGAGAGGGCGGACGGCCACAUUGGGACUGAGACACGGCCCAAACUCCUACGGGAGGCAGCAGUAGGGAAUUUUCGUCAAUGGGGGGAACCCUGAACGAGCAAUGCCGCGUGAGUGAGGAAGGUCUUCGGAUCGUAAAGCUCUGUUGUAAGAGAAAAACGGCACUCAUAGGGAAUGAUGAGUGAGUGAUGGUAUCUUACCAGAAAGUCACGGCUAACUACGUGCCAGCAGCCGCGGUAAUACGUAGGUGGCGAGCGUUAUCCGGAAUGAUUGGGCGUAAAGGGUGCGUAGGUGGCAGAUCAAGUCUGGAGUAAAAGGUAUGGGCUCAACCCGUACUUGCUCUGGAAACUGAUCAGCUAGAGAACAGAAGAGGACGGCGGAACUCCAUGUGUAGCGGUG
rnacentral:rRNA from 1 species